AUGUCUUCCACAUCAGUUCCGCCGCCGCCGGUGCCGCUGGCGCCGGAGCGGAGGGUGCCCGUGGUGGUGCCGGUGGUGCCCCACUUGGCUGAGGGAGGAGGAGGUGGGAGCGGGGACGAUGCGCGCGGGAGCGGGGGCAUGGCGGGGAUAUCGCCGAGCAUCCUUAUCAUCGCCGUAAUCGUGGUGGUGAUGCUUCUGGCGUCCAUCUCCAUCCACUACUUCAUCCGCAGUCUCUGCCGCCGCUCCUCCUCCUCCGCCUCGGGGUCCUCCGCGCCGCCGCUCCCGCUCGUGGCGGUCCGCAGCUCCGCGGUGGCCCCGGCGGCGGCGGCGCCCGUGGCCGACCAGGGGAAGGAGGCGGCCGCGGAGAGGGAGCGGCUCAUCGGGCGGCUGCCGCUCUUCACGCUGGCGUCGUCCCUCGCCGCGCUGCCCAGGUCGUCCAGGGACUGCGCCGUGUGCCAGUGCGUGUUCUGCGCCGACGACGAGCUCCGCCUCCUGCCGGCGUGCCGCCACGCGUUCCACUCCGGCUGCGUCGACCCGUGGCUCCGCGCCAACCCGUCCUGCCCUCUCUGCCGCGCCUCCAUCGCGCUCCCGUACCCGCCGCUCCCCGAGCUCCUCCGCGUCGAGCUCGGUAGCGUCAGCAGCCGCCGCUCCACUUCCUCGUCCUCCUCCGCGGCCGUCGCCGCAGCGCCGCCAGAGGGAGUCCGCGCGUACCCGCUCCCCAACUCCAACACCAACACAGAGUACCUCGUGGAGGAGGACCUCCAGGUGGUCCUCAAGCCACCCAGCGCCGCCAACCCGGCGCCACCGCCGCCACCCACGGCUCGAAUUACCGGCGAGCCGAGCCAGCAGCUGGCAGCCGCGGCGGAGCGCGCGCUGUCGUCGUCCGUGACGCCGACAGCGUCGUUCAGGUCGGUGGGGCGUUCCAGCAGCAGGUGGAGCAACCGGUGGAGCAGCCGGUGGAGCAGCGGGCGGUGGAGCAGCCGGUACGACGCCGGGAGCGUGACGGCCGCCGCCACGGCCGAGUGGUGGUGGGACAUGGACGGCGGGGUGGCGCCAGCGUCGCGGCGGGCCGAGUCCGAGGACGGCAGCGCGUUCUACGGGUUCGUGCGGUGGCUGACGGGAGCAUACUAG
rnacentral:rRNA from 1 species